AAAAGGGAAUAUGGGAGUGGGUUGCAAAGAGUAGGUAGCUUAACCUUCGGGAGGGCGCUUACCACUUUGUGAUUCAUGACUGGGGUGAAGUCGUAACAAGGUAACCGUAGGGGAACCUGCGGUUGGAUCACCUCCUUA
rnacentral:rRNA from 1 species